GGGAGGAACUGGGGCCCCGCGGGGCUCCUUGGCGCUCUGUGGUGCAGAUGGGCGUGGCUGUGCAGGGUGAGACCAGGGGUGGUGGUCCCAGAGCUGGAGGCCCGGAGGUGGCAAAAGGUCGACCUGUGGACCAAGAUGGAGGAGCUGGAGGUCCUGCGGUGGGUGCAGAGCGAGUUUCGGCGCGAAUAAAAGGAUUUGAGGGUUGUGCUCUGGAUACCCAAGUUGAAAGCAUAAUGUCAUGCAUCGCCAAAGGACACCCAGGAGAAGUUUCCAGGAUACAUUUUUCUCUUCCCUCCUUUCUUCUCCCCCUACCCCAUUUGAAUCCGAUUCCAAAUCUGAGACCGAGAGCAGCUCCUCUCUCUCUGGAAACUAAAGGAAAAGAUCUCCUUUCAGAUGAACUAUCUGCCCCGAAAGCGAAGCUCUUGGGAUCUAGAAUGUACGGCUUCCUGAAGGCAGGGGUCCCGACAACCCCAGCCUGGCGCCCAGCAAGCCUGACAGCCCAGAAACGAAGUAUUGACCGGAUGAAGGAGCUUCCAGACUUGGACCCCAGACCGCCCGGGGAGGGGAUGGGGGCGGUGGAAGAAAGAAGAGCACCUCGGUCACCCUUGUGAGUUAGGUUCUUUUUGGUUCUGAGGCAGGAAAGCACUCUUGGAGACUCCAGGAAAAGGAGGCUGUGCAUUGGAGGAUGAGGAGAAACCUCGCGUCGCUGCUCCUGGAGAGUCACCGCGCAGAAAACCUGUGCGGGUUAACGCGCCCCCCCCCCCAGGGUGUCGCCCCGAGCGAUCUGCAGCUUCGGUCGUUCUCCCAGUUCUGCGU
rnacentral:lncRNA from 1 species